UACAGAGGGUGCGAGCGUUAAUCGGAAUUACUGGGCGUAAAGCGUGCGUAGACGGUUAUCUAAGUCGGAUGUGAAAGCCCCGGGCUCAACCUGGGAAUUGCAUUCGAGACUGAAUAGCUAGGGUGCGGUAGAGGGAAGCGGAAUUUCCGGUGUAGCGGUGAAAUGCGUAGAUAUCGGGAGGAACACCAGUGGCGAAGGCGGCUUCCUGGCCUGUUCUUGACGCUGAGGCGCGAAAGCUAGGGGAGCAAACGGG
rnacentral:rRNA from 1 species